rnacentral:rRNA from 1 species
CCUACGGGAGGCAGCAGUGAGGAAUAUUGGUCAAUGGCCGGAAGGCUGAACCAGCCAUGCCGCGUGAAGGUCAGUGCCCUAUGGGCGUUAAACUUCUUUUGUGCGGGAGCAAUAAUGGUCACGUGUGGCCAGACGAGAGUACCGUACGAAUAAGCAUCGGCUAACUCCGUGCCAGCAGCCGCGGUAAUACGGGGGAUGCAAGCGUUAUCCGGAUUUAUUGGGUUUAAAGGGUGCGUAGGCUGUGAGGUAAGUCAGCGGUGAAAUGCCCCCGCUCAACGGGGUGAAGUGCCAUUGAUACUGCCUGGCUGGAAUGCGGAUGCCGUGGGAGGAAUGUGUGGUGUAGCGGUGAAAUGCAUAGAUAUCACACAGAACACCGAUUGCGAAGGCAUCUCACGAAUCCGCGAUUGACGCUGAUGCACGAAAGUGUGGGUAUCAAACAGGAUUAGAUACCCCAGUAGUC